UUCACCAGAUGUCAAAAAGUUUAGAGAUAAGUAGCAUGCAACCUCUUUUUUUUUAUAUAUUACAAAUAUGGUAAAUAAUUUAUAAUUAAAUUUCAUUAAUUUCAUUAAUUUUUUACUUUCAUCCCUUUAUUGCAUUCAUUAUUUUCAAAAUGACAAAUUUACCCUCUUCCCACUUUUCCUUUUUCCCCUCCAUCAUCUCCAUCCAUUUCAAGAAUUCUCCAUGGAAUCAAAAGCUUCAUACUAUACUUUCCAAAAGCUCCUCCAUUGUUCAUCAAUCUUGAGCUCUACGAGCUGGAUUCCUCCACUUACCUCGCAAAAGGCAUAAGACUGCUCUCCCUUAACCGCACUCAAAAGAACAUGCUUCUGAUUUUGUUGCCAAAGAUCUACGCACCAAGCGAGUCUUCUCCCCCAAUUUACAGAAUCGCUCCUCGGUGUCAUCUAGAGAACUGAUUAACGAUAGAGAAGGACUACUAACCCCAAAUCAAACUUGUUCGAAUGAAGAUAAUGGAGUCGUCAAUGCACACAUGUUGAAUGUAAUUUGGUAUUGACGAUGUAAUGGAAAGAGUGAGGAAUCAGUGCACUCUACUCCUCCUGAUGUGGAUAUUCUGAUCGGGGGUUUUGUGUCGGCUUCUUCAAGUGGUUGUCCUCAAUAAAUUUUGAGUUGGCAACUUUGUCGAGAUCAAAGAGAAAUUAGAAGAGUAAAGCCACAUCAAACCGACAAGAACAUGUAAAUUAAAUUUGAUUUCACUAAUCAAAGAACAUGUAAAUUUGCUUCUAUUUGAACAAUUACAUUGUUGUAUAUCAAAGAUAUAGUUGUUAUU